rnacentral:miRNA from 12 species
UGGAGACGCGGCCCUGUUGGAAU